UCCCUAGCCGCCUCCUCAUUCCAUCCUAUCCCUCUUCCCCAUCCUCCCCUCAAUAAGUCCUCUCAGGUCUAUAAAGCACCUUGAUGCUGUCACCUUCACCAGCUGCAGCCCUCUUUCCCCAGCUCCUCAGGUGGAAGGUCAGCGAUUUCAGUGCCCACAAACCUUUCAUGACUGGACCAGAAGACCUGACCAUGAAGAUCCCUCUUCAUGGCUUUCCCUCUGUCUUUUCUGGUCUGAGCCAAACAGACAGCAGCUUUCGAGAAGCAGGGGAUCUCUGCUAAGUCUGAAAGGCGACAGAGAGAAGUAGCUGUCAGCAAGCUGAGAGGUGUUAAAAAGAGAAGACAGAUUGGGGAUUGAAACGGAAGCUCCUGUGUGCGGAAGCCAUUGCAGCUAAUCACUCAUCCAUUCUCCACGUCUUGGAGUGCCCUACAUCCUGACUCCUUAGUUCUGAGCAAUGAUAAUUCUAAGCCAGCUCAUACAGGCCCCAAGCUGAUUGUUAAAUUUUCAUCGAGAACAUUAUACCUUGCAAAUUGUCAAA